GCAAGUCGAACGAACCCUUCGGGGUGAGUGGCGCACGGGGGGUUAACCGGUGGAAACCUGCCUUUAGGUUCGGAAUAACGCAGAGAAAUUUGAGCUAAUACCGGAUAAUGUCUUCGGACCAAAGAUUUAUCGCCUGUAGAUGGGCCCGCGUUAGAUUAGGUAGUUGGUGGGGUAAUGGCCUACCAAGCCGACGAUCUAUAGCUGGUCUGAGAGGAUGAUC
rnacentral:rRNA from 1 species